rnacentral:rRNA from 1 species
GAUGAACGCUGGCGGUAUACUUAACACAUGCAAGUCGAACGGACUCUUCGGAGUUAGUGGCGGACGGGUGAGUAACGCGUGAGAAUCUGGCUUUGGGUUCGGGACAACCACUGGAAACGGUGGCUAAUACCGGAUGUGCCGAGAGGUAAAAGAGAAAUUGCCUGAAGAUGAGCUCGCGUCUGAUUAGCUAGUUGGUGAGGUAAAGGCUCACCAAGGCAGCGAUCAGUAGCUGGUCUGAGAGGAUGACCAGCCACACUGGGACUGAGACACGGCCCAGACUCCUACGGGAGGCAGCAGUGGGGAAUUUUCCGCAAUGGGCGAAAGCCUGACGGAGCAAUACCGCGUGAGGGAAGAAGGCUCUUGGGUUGUAAACCUCUUUUCUUAGGGAAGAACAAAAUGACGGUACCUAAGGAAUCAGCAUCGGCUAACUCCGUG